UUAGGUGGUGGCAUUUAUUGGCAGGAUAAUUAGACAGAAACAUUAUUCCAUAUCUUGUAUACAUUUUCUAUGUAUACAACCUGUCUCCAGAGCAACAGAUAGACAGGACAUUCCUUUUAAAAGGAAAGUACAUCUAUUGGUAUGGUCCUAGCUAUGUUUAGAUGUUUUUGUUACUUUGUGGUGAGCUGUGAUAUCCAUGGAGCCCCAGGCUGGCAUGGAGAAAUGUUUACUGUCUAUACAGAAAUGCUCUCUCUUAACUGUGAUACUCUAUAGCCUUAGAUUUGGGAAUGCCUAGCGAAGUUUGUUCCUCCUUAUAAAACAUUUAAGAUAUUCUGCAUCUGUGUAGCAGAGGCAACCUAGAAGAACCAGGAACAUUGAGCCUUUUGUUACAAGUCUGGCUUCCUUGUAGGACACUUGUUCAUUAUGCCAGUUUUAGUCCCUUUUAAAUUUUUUUUGGGUUUUUGUUUUUGCUUUUUUUUUUUAAAAUCAAGGAACGCCUAUCAUGUGAUCUUGUAGGUAUUAGCUUGGGUUGCAAGGGACGAAAUAUAUGUUGUUUGGCUAGAUUAAGGGCAAGUGAUUCAUCUGUAUACUGCUUAUUUUUGUUUCAAAAUAAUUAAUAUAUGACUACAUUCACACAUAAAAGCAUAAUUCUUAAGUCCUUAAAGUAUUAAUUUUAUAUCUGUGCAUGAUAGGGCAUUUUCUAAUUAAAAAAACCCUCAAUUGCCAGGUGAAUAGUCAAGUAAACAGUUGUCUCUGGAAGGGCUUAAGCAGUGCAGAGGAAGACUUGCAAUGGGAUGGUUGUGCUAGGUAUAGAAUUUGCUUAUUUUCUAUAGUGCAGUGAGUGACCAUUUGGGGGCUACCAUUUGCCUACUCCAGGCUAAAGAAAAAAAAAAGUCAUCAGUUCUAAGUGUUUACUAGGUAGACUGUUACUGUAUAGGUUGAAGGUGUCUGGACAUGCUAGUCGAAUUUGUUUCUCUAAAGAUGACUCCACCUUACUUUGUUGAGAUACUGGAUAAUAUCAUCAAGUAGUUUAGAAGGUCGUGUAUCAUAUUUCAUUUAUUUCUAGGUGCUAGAAAUCUUCAAGUAUGUCUUUGUGACCACAGCCUUUAACAGUUCUUCAUGAUGAUGAAAGGCUAGUCUUACUGUGAGAGAAGACCAUGACUAGCGAGUAAGCAUGCCUCCAUGACACAUUUGAGGAUUCAGUUUAUAAAACCGAUCCUUCGUGAUUCCCAAUACUGAUUCUAUAACCGUGGAUACUUUUCCUUUCCACUGAUUUUCUGACUCGAGGAAGUAGUUCUGAGUAAAAACCAUGGUGAAUCCAGUUUAUUGGGGCCAUCUGGCUUCAUUUGUGAGCCUUGGCCUUACUGUCCCAUGAGUCCAAAGUAGGUUAACCUUGAUGCAUUUAAGCAGAUACCUGAAGAGGUGCCAGUCAGUAUUCAUGUAUCUCUAGGAUAAGCAUCACCCAGUUAUGCAGUAUUUGAGUUGAAGACACUCUAGACUUUGUUUUAGGCUAAUCUGUUGAUGCUAGAAGUAGUUGCUCAUAAGAAGCUUUGCAAGGUCUUUAAAAACUUUUUUGACUCUAUGAAAUUUGACUCCCAAUUUGCCGUGGUAGAUUCUGCCAACUUGACCUUUGAGAAUGGAUUUCCUUUCCCAGGUUUCUAGAUCCCUCAGAUAAUCUAUAACUGUUAGCCUUAAACUUAAUCCCAAGGGUGGGACUGUUCUUGGGGCUUCCUGACCGUCAUUAAUGAUGUAGCAGGUGGUUCUUGCUAUCAGUUAUUAAAUAAAAUUCUCUUUUAUUUGCUUAUGCAUGAUUAUUUAUGUUUAAGAAAUUAGAAUUACAGUUAGACUUAGAAUUCUGUUUAUUAAGCUAUUAUAAUUAAUCAUUAUAAUGACGACAUUAGAAUUACAGCUAUGGCUAUGACUCAUGUAGAGUGCCUGUUCCUGCAUGCAUGGGGCUGAGGAUUACCAAGAAGGAAAUGAAGAUGUUAAAAUGAACACAUUUUCUAGAUAACAAACAUCUCAGGAUUAUGGGAUAUAAGAAAGAGCACUCUGAUAUUGUUAUGGUUACAUAUUUUUAUUAUUCGAUGCUUUAUUGAUUCCUGACAGAGAAAAGGAUAGAGCCCUCUUGAUAGAAAUCAUGAGAACGCAGAGGCCAUGAGAGGGGCUGGUCACUGGUGCCAGCUGGGCUGGUCAACACCUGUAGAUUUUUUCUGUAGUCAUCACAAACUGGCUUGCUGCUGCUC
rnacentral:lncRNA from 1 species